rnacentral:SRP_RNA from 1 species
GCCAGGUGUGGCGGUGCAUGCCUGUAGUCCCAGCUACUUGGGAGGCUGAGGCAGGAGAAUCGCUUGAGCCUGGGAGGUGGAUGUUACAGUGAGCCAAGAUUGUGUCACUGUACUCCAGCCUGGGCAACAGAGUGAGACCCUGUCUCAA